GACCGAGUCAACUAGGCACCAGAUUAACAUUUAGGAAUCAAUUUAUCAAAGUUAUUAUAAAAGUUCAAUGUUAUUACUGAAAUGUUAGCUUUUAUAAAGUUACUUCCCUUUUUAUCUAAGUCUAUUAUGCGUGUUAUGUUGCUAUAGGCCCUAUAGUUCAUUGUUUUUGAGGCGGUGUUAACGUUAUGCUAUUUACUUCCUCAUCGUUCUGUGUUUUUUCUUUAAACAAGAAAACAAGAUGAUCAUGUACAUCGUUGUGUGAGGUAGCUUGGGGAAUCCCCAUUUUGUGUAGGAUUCCCCCCUUUUUCUUUCUACACUUUCAUCAUGUAAGAUUUUGGUCUAUUUCGUCUUCUCAUGCUUCACAUUAGUAUUAAAUGAUGGCCCUGGCUCUGUGUUGAACUCUGACCGCCGGUCAAGUGAUGGUUGGCUUAACACGAGUACUCUGUGCCAUGAACCAGAGCCUUGAAGCUUGUCCUCUUCCUAUUGUUACAGGGAAUAAACAAAUUGGUGCAAUCUAAUUAGGGCGUAUCUCGUGUAGAACCUGGUGAUAUUCGACAGCGUGACUGUUCUUUAUCCUGUACACAAGGAUUUCAUACUACUCCUAGGGUCUCUCCUAUGAUUCAUUUAGAAAUUGAUUUUAAGGAUUUUAUAUUUAUUGGAAGCUUGUUCGCAUACCUAGAAAUCAAAGCUUUGCUCCUUUGUAUAAAGUUGCCAGUAACUUAUAUUUUGAAUUGAAGCAGACGCUAACGUGUUACUAAAACAGAAAUGACAGCUCUCCCAGACCUGUGCAGGCGUGUUUUGGUCAGUGGAGUGUUUUAAGUAUCUACAAAGUGGAUCAUUGCCUCACCCUGUAAUCCUUCAUCAUGUUUCUUUUGCACGUUUACUUUAUAGCCUGUGUAACCACUAUUUUAAUUUUUUUUCUAGUUUUAAAUUUUUAAACUUGGUGGUCUUAAUCAGAACCAAAGAUGCAGUUUAUAAUUUAAGAAUUUCAAGCUGUUAUUUAAUAUUUAUAUUGAACAAAUUCAAACUUUGUACAGGAGUUAAAUACUUCCCUUUUCCCUGUAAAGUUACAUAAUCAGAAUGAAGAUCAAUGAGAUGAAGAUCUAAAUCAAAUUUGUCAACAAAAGGAAAAAUCAUGGAACAAAUUCCCUAUGUAAAAGUGUUGUUGUUUUUAGAAUCUGAGUAAAACUGGUUCUGUAAUCAGAAACUGCCUAUAUAUGUCUGUGUACAAAGUAAUGGAUUAUAGAAUUCUGUGUACAAAACAAGGGAUUUGCUUUUUUUUUAAUCAUUAAUUAUAAAAUACUGAUUAUUGAUUAAAGUGUUAUGUAGAUAUUUUAGC
rnacentral:misc_RNA from 1 species